rnacentral:lncRNA from 1 species
UCUCCUUUUCUUUGCUCUGUUCCCCUUUUGUGAAUGGCCUCUUCCUCAUCCCUUAUUUUUUUUUCUCAAAAAUUUCUUGAAUCUUCGGAUAAUGAGUGCCAUUUCUUCAUCCUGUUCUUCAUCUUCAGUGUCAUCAGUUUCUUCAUCUAGUGGAGCUGUAAAUUUGAGGGCAAUUAUUCUUUUCUUUUUGACUUCUUCCUCUUGAUGUUGCUUCAUGCUUAGCUCAUGAGUCAUCAAUGAUCCAAGAAGCUCUUCCAAGGAUAGAAUGUUCAAGUCCUUGGCUUCUUGGAUGGUGAUCACUUUGGCUUCUCAAGUUCUUAGUAAGGACCUGAGAAUCUUUCUUACAAACUCACUGUUAGUAUAGGACUUAUCAAGACUCUUUAAACCAUUUAUAAUAUCAGUAAAGCGAGUAAACAUUUCAGUUAUGGACUCAUCAUGCUCCAUUUUAAACAAUUCAUAUUUAUGCACAAGCAUGUUGAUUUUAGACUCCUUUACUUGAUUGGUUCCUUCAUGGGUUACUUCUAACCUAUCCCAUAUUUCUUUAGCAGAUGAGCAAGUAGAAAUGCGAUUAAAUUCAUUAGCAUCAAGAGCACAAUAAAGAACAUUCAUUGCUUUAGCAUUUAAUUAAGCCAUUUUCUUAUCAAUCUCAUCCCAUUCUUUCUCGGAUUUGGCUGAUUCCAGACCAUCUAUACUUUUAGUGGGUGUGUGAGGACCGUUCACUAUGAUACUCCACAUAUCAUAGUCGAGUGCUUGAAUGAAUAUUUUCAUCCGAGCUUUCCAAUAGGUGUAAUUAGACCCAUUGAAAAGUGGAGGUCGGUUGGUGGAUUGCCCCUCGGCUAGAGAAGUGCCGACUUGAGUUGUCAUAGAUCUUUGGCUCUUUGAUUGUUUAAAUCAAAGUAGGGCUAGAGCACCGAGCUCUGAUACCACUUGUUGCCCAGCUAUGCAACCCAAGAGGGGGGGUCAAUUGGGUUUCUAAAAAUUUUAAGCUUAACUUAU